rnacentral:rRNA from 1 species
GUGGUUUUGGAUGGACUCGCGGCCUAUCAGCUUGUUGGUGGGGUAAUGGCCUACCAAGGCGACGACGGGUAGCCGGCCUGAGAGGGUGACCGGCCACACUGGGACUGAGACACGGCCCAGACUCCUACGGGAGGCAGCAGUGGGGAAUAUUGCACAAUGGGCGCAAGCCUGAUGCAGCGACGCCGCGUGAGGGAUGACGGCCUUCGGGUUGUAAACCUCUUUCAGUAGGGAAGAAGCCGUAAGGUGACGGUACCUGCAGAAGAAGCGCCGGCUAACUACGUGCCAGCAGCCGCGGUAAUACGUAGGGCGCAAGCGUUAUCCGGAAUUAUUGGGCGUAAAGAGCUCGUAGGCGGUUUGUCGCGUCUGCUGUGAAAGACCGGGGCUCAACUCCGGUUCUGCAGUGGGUACGGGCAGACUAGAGUGCAGUAGGGGAGACUGGAAUUCCUGGUGUAGCGGUGAAAUGCGCAGAUAUCAGGAGGAACACCGAUGGCGAAGGCAGGUCUCUGGGCUGUAACUGACGCUGAGGAGCGAAAGCAUGGGGAGCGAACAGGAUUAGAUACCCUGGUAGUCCAUGCCGUAAACGUUGGGCACUAGGUGUGG